UGGCUCAGUUGGUAGAGCAUGGUGUUUGCAACCCCAUGGUUGUGGGUUCGAUUCCCAC
rfam:Salmo salar isolate Sally breed double haploid chromosome ssa10, whole genome shotgun sequence.